GAGACCCCGAGAAGUGAUAUAAUGCACCAAGUAAAUCAUUUUGCAUAUCUAAACGCUAACAAAUCGGUAUAUUUAUGAACGCAUUGUGAUUGUUGUGGUCAACAGCGGCCAUAAAGGUGUUAUUAGUUACCCAUGCAAACGCUCACCCAGACCUGCCUGAAAUGCCACGUGUAUCCACAACCCAACACAUCUACGUCAGUUCAUGGUAUGACUUUUACAAAAGUGUAGCCAGGGAUGGGCAUGUUUUUCAAAUACAAAAUACAAAUCAUUAGCAACAGAGAUGAGACAAAUUACAGGAGCGAGGUGAGCCCAGGUGGUGC